GGGUAUUUAUUUUUCAUUUUUCUUUCAUUAUUCUUAAAUUUUAAUAUUUAUUUAUUUAUUUUAACAAUUAAAAAAAUAAAAAAGGUCCCACCUCCCUCUCUCUCUCUCUCUCUCUCUCUCCAUUUGAAGAAAGAAAGCACCGGUUCUUCCCCCUUUUCGCAUUUUCCAUGUUCUUCCCCCUUCUUGCUACUGAUCGGAGGAAACAACCACCACCAUCUUAACCCACUUAAUUUUUCGAACACCUCCUCCACCUCCCCAUGUCGUGACCCACCACCAGCAAACACCCUUCCCAAAUACCUCCGGACCAUAACCUUGCUCCUCCCAGCCCUCUCUCUCGUUGAGCUCUUCUGAAAAGAAAGGAAACAAAGGAAAAACCUCAUUAAUCGGCAUAAGGUACAAUAAGCUUUUCUCGAUUUUCUUGAUACAAAUCUUUCAAAUUACUCGUUGUUAUUGGAACUGAUCUUAAGAACCCCAAAUAGAGAUAUAUUUAGAUGUUCGAUUUCAAAUUUUGUGGUCUAAAUUUCAAAUCUUGAAUCAGGGACAGGAGACAUCGGAUCAAGAAAACACCUGAUUAUUUCUGUUCUUUCAAAUUACUCGUUGUGAUUGUUGGCAAAACCCACCAAACGCCUCCAUCUUGUCGUAACCCAGCACCACCAAACGCCAUCGUCGUUUCUGCUUCGUCUUGGUCCCUCGUCGAGCAUCCACC
rnacentral:lncRNA from 1 species